rnacentral:rRNA from 1 species
UGGGGAAUCUUGCACAAUGGGCGAAAGCCUGAUGCAGCGACGCCGCGUGGGGGAUGAAGCAUCUCGGUGUGUAAACCCCUUUCGAUUCGGACGAAUGCCCGCAAGGGAGUGACGGUACGGAUAUAAGAAGCCCCGGCUAACUACGUGCCAGCAGCCGCGGUAAGACGUAGGGGGCCAGCGUUGUUCGGAAUUACUGGGUGUAAAGGGUUCGUAGGCGGUGCGGCAAGUUGGGAGUGAAAUCUCUGGGCUUAACCCAGAGGCUGCUUCCAAAACGGCUGUGCUCGAGUGUGGGAGAGGCGCGUGGAAUUGCAGGUGUAGCGGUGAAAUGCGUAGAUAUCUGCAGGAACACCCGUGGCGAAAGCGGCGCGCUGGACCACUACUGACGCUGAGGAACGAAAGCUAGGGGAGCAAACAGG